rnacentral:rRNA from 1 species
UACGUAGGGGGCUAGCGUUGUUCGGAAUUACUGGGCGUAAAGAGUGUGUAGGCGGUGCUCUAAGUCUGUUGUGAAAUCUCCCGGCUUAACCGGGAGGGUGCGGCGGAAACUGGAGUGCUUGAGGGUGGGAGAGGUAAGCGGAAUUCCUGGUGUAGCGGUGAAAUGCGUAGAUAUCAGGAGGAACACCUGUGGUGUAGACAGCUUACUGGACCACUUCUGACGCUGAGACACGAAAGCGUGGGUAGCAAACAGG